UUACCUCAAUCCUAAAGGUAACCCGAACCUCAACCCUAAUGUAACACUUACUGUAACUUUACUCUUAAUUACAGUUUAAACCCUAUUUAGAAAUACACAAACGCAAUUGUAAUGGUAAUAGCCCAAACCUCUACUAACGCCUGACUGCACUGGCAACUCUUAGUGCAACCCUAAAAAUGCACUGAGACCCUGCAUAUCCAGACCCUACUCUUACACUGUAGCUCUGCUGCCCCCUGCCCUCUCUCUCCUGUUUCCCUGGCACCAUUUCCAAUCUAGGAAUCUGCAGCUGCAGGACUUGACAGCUCAAGGAAGGUCAGCCCUCAGACCACUGCACGCUGGGACCAGCACGGAGCGGCUCUGUGACGGGUACGGUAGAGCCUGUGGAUUGUACCGACAGCCGCACUCGCCCCAGGCAUCUUGGUACGGUGCUGCCGGUGGCGGCAGAGAACUGCGGUGCUCCUGAACGGUGCCUGAACUGCAUGGAGAUCUGUGGCUCCUCAUGAAGUCAGCAAGACAUGGAUAUCUGGAUUUCCUGGAAUGCCUCGGAACCCAACUUGUCUGUCUGGUAACUGGUCGCCCAUACAGGUACGGGCAAUGUACACCCACCAGUGCUUACCCAUUCCAUAGCGUGGCUCAACAUAGUCCUCCCAGAGCUUGUAACGGCGCUUAAGGGUUCCCAGAUGGCUGCCUGUCCUUUUCUUCCUGAGAUCUCCUUGCCUCUGCCU